GGGAGAAGCUGCCUUGGUGGGUUUGGAAAGUGUGAAGAGUUCGCAGGCGUGCUCAUCAUCAACUAAGUGGACAGGUGAAAGCUGGAGGGGCUCUGCAGAAGCCCUGAGUUGCACUAAAAUCUGUACUAAUCCAAAUAGUGGGUCUAGAUUCCCUCUCCUACUCAAAAUGACUUUAACUCCUCCAAUUUAGCAAAUAUUGGUUGAACAUCUCCUACUGUAUUUAAUGGAAUGUAAGAGAUCAUUGACUAUAAGGCACGCCAUUAUUUUAAGAGGCUCUAAGAAAAGAGCUUCCAACUCAGCUAUGACACUCUAUGAAAAGUAAGACUUUCCUAGGUCAGAAGCACAGAAGUGUAAAAAGAAUGUUGGUCUCGGGAUGGGUACCAUGUGCACUGUAGCUUAAUGGGCAUAGUGGGGCAUUGUGACAUAGAAACUGCCCUUGCUCCCAGCAGAGGAGAAAAAGCGUGUAAAGCAAUGUCAGUGAUAACAAGCAAAAAUAGGACAGGGGAGAAAGCCAAGAGUCUUCAGACCACAAGAGAAGGAGAGAUUAAUUCUGGUAGGGAGGUAUCAAGGAGGCCUUCCUGGAUGAGGGGGUGGCAUCUGAGCUGGGCUCAGGAAAAGGAAAAUCCACCUGGAUGGACAGCAGCAGAGGGAGGAGGAGGCAGGACAGACCAGAAGAGAGACAAUGAGGUUCUGAACCUAGAUGUUGGCCAAGGGAGCAGAGGAGGGCAGGUCAGGAGGCCCUCGCCCUGCAAUCACCCUUCCUGGGAGCCUUCACUUCACCUGUGAUCUCAAGACCUCUCCCUACUGCCUGACUCGCGCCGAGCUUAUGGAACAUCUUCCCUUGAGGGUCGCAGUCCAUUCGAUGAGCCCUUGUCACAGGUCCUGCUUCUGUGGGGAGCUCAAGCGCGGACACCCUUGGAACACUCCCCAAGUCUCUUCCUUCCCAUCCAGCACCACUUCCCUAAGUCACAGCUGCACCACCUCUCAUCUGGACUGCUCACAGCAGGUGGAGUCAGGAUCAAAAUAGCCAAAGAAAAAGUAAGAAUCCGUAUACAGGAAACAAAUAUGUGAUGAUGACCGGAGCAGCUCAGAAUCAGAACUUGAGCAAGACCUGGGCUGCUUUGAUUUUCUGAAGGUCUCAAAAUAUUAGGGGCAAAAAAGAAAAUAAAAAAAGAAAAAAAAGAAGGAAUACCAAAAGCAAGUUACAUAAAGUAUGAGAUAUAUUACAUGUUUCCAGUGAACAAGUGAACAGUUUGGCACGUCAAAGACACAACGUCAGAGCAUUUAGCCUCAAUUGGCGAUAACCUGAAAAGCCUGAAAAGCAAAGCCUUCUGGGAAUGUGAGCUCCAGUUCUGGGAUGAACCCUGAAAAGGACAGAGUGAGCCACACGUGGUGGCCGGACCAUGGGUAAGGGGUGAGCACUGCUGGGCUCCAUUCUGCUGGAAGGACGGACAAUCUCCUUCUGCACAAUAACUGGUGUGAGGGGGCCGGACGCUGUGAGGGUCAGGAAGGGGAGGGUCCACCCAAAGUAGGCUAAUGGAGCAGUUGGUGACCCCAUUUCCCCAGCUUUCAGCCAGAGAUAUCCCAGAUGUCAUGGGAGAGCCAUUGGAUGCUCUCAGCUCUGAAUUUUCAUGCCUCUGCCACGGUUAGCAUCAGAGCAGUGAUUUCCAUCCAACAUAGCAAAAAACUUUUCAUGGGAGACCAAAAGCUUGUGGCUUCAGAAUGAAUCCAGAAAAAAAAAAAAAUCCCUGUCAUGAGGGUGAAAGGAGCUGCCAGCCUCAACAGGGCUCCUUGGAGAAGACAUUUGAGACUUACAUUCCAGGCAAAGUGGCACUUCACAUUCUGGGUUCUGACCUUCUUGGAAUAAAUGUCUCCACCUGCGGGCAGAA
rnacentral:lncRNA from 1 species